rnacentral:rRNA from 1 species
GUUGAACGCUGGCGGCAGGCCUAACACAUGCAAGUCGAACGAGUGGCGGACGGGUGAGUAAUGUCUGGGAAACUGCCCGAUGGAGGGGGAUAACUACUGGAAACGGUAGCUAAUACCCCGUACCAUUGGAUCUGCCCAGUUGGGAUUAGCUUGUAGGUGAGGUAACGGCCCAACUAGGCGACGAUCCCUAGCUGGUCUGAGAGGAUGACCAGCCACACUGGAACUGAGACACGGUCCAGACUCCUACGGGAGGCAGCAGUGGGGAAUAUUGCACAAUGGGCGCAAGCCUGAUGCAGCCAUGCCGCGUGUAUGAAGAAGGUCUUCGGGUUGUAAAGUACUUUCAGCAGGGAGGCGUUACCCGCAGAAGAAGCACCGGCUAACUACGUGCCAGCCGCCGCGGUAAUAC